AAGCAGAGUUUUCUCCUCGUACCUUUUGCAUCAUGAUUUAGUUAGUAAAAUUCAAGCAAAGAGCACUUUAGUUUGACACCCCGAAACUAGGUGAGCUACUCCAAGGCAGCCUGAUUUAUAGGGCACACCCGUCUCUGUGGCAAAAGAGUGGGAAGACCUUCGAGUAGGAGUGAUAGACCUAUCGAACCUAGUUAUAGCUGGUUGCCUGGGAACUGGAUAGGAGUUCAGCCUCUCGGAUUCUUCCGUCAACACAUAAUAUUCAAGGGCCCCCCCUUCAACCGACACAACAGAAGCCGUGAGAGUUAGUCAAAGGGGGUACAGCCCCUUUGACACAAGACACAACUUUCUAAGGAGGGUAAUGAUCACAUAAUUCAAGGCAUAGUAUUCUGGUGGGCCUAAAAGCAGCCAUCCUUAAAGAAUGCGUUAAAGCUCAGACAUGCUUACCCCUUAUAUUCUGAUAUCCCCAUCACAACCCCCUAAAUUUACCAGGCCUUCCUAUGCGAACAUAGGAGAGUUUAUGCUAAAAUGAGUAAUAAGAGGGCACACUUCCAACCCUCUCUCCCGCACACGUGUAACUCGGAACGGACCCCCCACCGAGCCUUAACGACCCCAAUAAAAGAGGGAACUGAACUAUGAAUAAAAAACUAGAAAACCGUUCAAAAACCAUCGUUAACCCCACACUGGAGUGCUUUCAGAGAAAGGCUAAAAGAGAAAGAAGGAACUCGGCAAACACAAGCCUCGCCUGUUUACCAAAAACAUCGCCUCUUGCAAACUUAUGAAUAAGAGGUCCCGCCUGCCCUGUGACUAUAUGUUUAACGGCCGCGGUAUCUUAACCGUGCGAAGGUAGCGCAAUCACUUGUCUUUUAAAUGGAGACCUGUAUGAAUGGCAUAACGAGGGCUUAACUGUCUCCUUUCUCAAGUCAAUGAAAUUGAUCUCCCCGUGCAGAAGCGGGGAUUAACACAUAAGACGAGAAGACCCUAUGGAGCUUUAGACAUAAGAUAGAUUACCUUAAUCAACCCAGAACAAAGGGCGGAACCAGAGGUAAACCUUUCCAACGUCUUUGGUUGGGGCGACCGUGGGGUAAAACAAAACCCCCAUGUGGAAUAGGAGCACCUCUCCUUCAACCUAGAGCUCCCGCUCUAAGGAACAGAAUUUCUGACCAAUUAAUGAUCCGGCAAUGCCGAUCAACGGACCGAGUUACCCUAGGGAUAACAGCGCAAUCCCCUUUUAGAGCCCAUAUCGACAAGGGGGUUUACGACCUCGAUGUUGGAUCAGGACAUCCUAAUGGUGCAGCCGCUAUUAAGGGUUC
rnacentral:rRNA from 1 species